CAGAAGUCCCACGAAGGAAAAGCACUGCAAGGAGAGACAAUGAAUACUCAACAUUUCUGAACAUAUCUGAGGAGUCAGGGCAGGCCUGUCUGAGGAAGAGGAGUCCUUCAGGGCCCUGCUGCUGAGCUCAGCCCAAGCACUGAAGCUGUCUUUACUCAUGAGGCCCUGGAGUCUCUCCCUGAAAUCAAGCAUCAGCUCUGACCUGUCCCCACCCCGUCUACCCUUCACAUCUGCUCUUUGUUUAUACAUAGCUCAAGUGCCCUCUUCUGGGACUUCCAACCUCCAGACGUCCCUCAUCAGCCAGGGAGCAGAUCUCCUGCCAGAGAAGCUAAGACUGAGGCUUCACCCUCCUCCACACAGCACGCCGGGUAGCCACCACGGCCUGGAGAGAAUCGAGGGAUUCGGUGAAAUCUCCUUGCCAUCUCUGGGGUAAAAC
rnacentral:lncRNA from 1 species